rnacentral:rRNA from 1 species
UGCAGAGAGUGCGAACGUUGUUCGGAAUUACUGGGCUUAAAGCGCACGUAGGCGGCGCCGCAAGUGCGGGGUGAAAUCCCACGGCUUACCCGUGGAACUGCCUUGCAGACUGUGGUGCUAGAGGAUGGUAGGGGAGAGCGGAACUCCUGGUGGAGCGGUGAAAUGCGUAGAUAUCAGGAGGAACACCGGUGGCGAAGGCGGCUCUCUGGUCCAUGACUGACGCUGAGGUGCGAAAGCUAGGGGAGCAAACGGG